ensembl:lncRNA
AUUAUCAAAUUGAGUUUCAACAGCAAAAAAAUAAAACACUAAUCCUCUGAAAGGUUGGAUAAGACGUUUGCAGAUGACAGAUGUGCUUCAGUUGUGUGUGUUUUUGUGUGUGUGUGUGUGUGUGUGUGUGUGUGUGUGUGUGUGAGUGAGAGAGAGAGAGAGAGAGAGAGAGAGAGAGAGAGAGAGAGAGAGAGAGAGAGAGAGAGAGAGAGAGAGAGAGGUGAAUACUUAUAUCCAUCCUAUAAGUGUGUCAAUGUGAGCCUAAACGUGUGUGUCGCAAAUAUGGCUAAAGCUGCUGUUUUAUGAUUGGCUGCUGCCCACACAUACUCAAUAUGCACCCUGCUGGCACUGAGAUGUGUGCAUGAGAGAGAGAGCGAGGGAGGGAGAGAGUCUGGGAUAUAAAGGGGGUUGACAUAAGUAUAAAAGAGGAGAGAACCACAGUGGUAUAGGAACAGGAAGAGAACAAUCAUUCACUUUUCAUAGCAGUGCCAGCAGCUGACAUCACACCACUCUAACAGCUGCAUCAGCAGAGAGCCACAGCCGGGCUCAGGAGGGCAACACCUGAGCUAACGGACGGUAACCAGGACGACGGCAGCGCCAGCGACAAUAACCCUGUCAACAACUCUUUGACCCCAAUACAGCCAACAGAUCCAGUUACCAUGGCAAUUAGCUCAUCGCCGCCGCUAACAGAGCUUGAAAGAGAAAAUUUGAUUAGCUGGAACAACCGAGAAUUAGAGGAACCCAAUUACCCAGAGGUCCAUGGGAUGCAGCAGCCAAGCAGGAAGGAGCCGGAGGUAGAAGAGCCGACAGAGGGAGACAAUGGAAAAACAGAUGGAGACGAGUGUGACUAUCUUGUCUUUGAUAUUGGACAGCAGAAGGGAGGAGAAGAAAUGGGGGGGUGGGGUGGAGGAAAAGCAGAAACAAGGAGUGAAGAUUUAGGGGGAAGAGGAGUUGAGGGAGAAGAUGAAGGGAGAGUAAAAAUAGAAGGUGAGUAUGAAGCGAUUGGAGAAAGAGAGAGAGAAGACUCUAAAGAAGAGGACGGGUGGAUAGGAAAGACGGUGGGGGAGAUGAAAGAUGAUGCUCUGGCAGAGCUGCCCUUCAUCUCUGACAGUCCAGUCUGUCCUUCAUCAUCAGAGCCCCUGGGUGGCACAUCCCUUCCUGCAGAGCAGCCUGCAAUAGCGGCCACGUUGCAGAAGGCCUGGGGUCACGACCUUGGAAACAGAGAUGACUUAAGCGAUGGUCACCUUAGUGACUGCCUCCAAGCUGAGCUGGCUAUCGUGUACUCGGACAGUGACGCAGGGGAGGACCAAUGGGCAGCCUUCGCGCCCUGUGAUGUCACCAACCAGGAAGAAGCAGAUGGAAAGAAUCAUGAUAGCAUCUGUGAUAUAGAGAGCAAGGAAGAGAAGAGAGAGGAAGAGAGUAGGGAGAGAGCGGAGGAUGAAGAUGAGUCAGUAGAGACUGGAGCAGAGGACCAGAGAGAGGAGGAAGUCGAGAAGGAGCAGGAAGAGAGGAGGGGAGGCGGGGAUGAUGAUGAAGAGCAGAUGAAGAUGAGGAGAGAUGUUUUUUUGCGCUCUCCCUCUGUCUGCUCUACAGCCAGCCCCACAGACCCUGACAGGAAGGUUCCUGUAGAUUUCUGUGUCCACCAAGACACCCUCAGUGAAAAUGUCUCCACUGAGCAUGUAGACUUUCUGUUGGCCUGCAAGCAGUGGAAGAAGAUGGAGGAGGAGGUCAAAGGUCAACCAUUCCCCAAACCGGGGCUGAGAGCUCAGGGGAGCUUCCAGGGCACCCAUACUUCACUAUACCCUCCCACUCGCAGCCCUCGCCUCAAACACAGGGAGAUCCAUCCACCAGUGCCAAGGGAGUCGCCCCUCUCCUCCACACUGUCCCCCAGUUCAGAGGACUCAGGCCUGGAUGACUCAUCAUACCGCAGCCCCCUGGAGGAGCCAGAGACCCCGGUGGAGAGAGAGAUCCGGCUGACUCUUGAGAGAGAGGAGCGACACCGCAGAGAGAGGGGAAUGAUUGCACAGGGCCUGACUAUAUCUAGACCAUCCACCCUUCAAACAGGACGAUCUCCACCCAGACCUCCGGCCUGCCGCACCCCUACCUUGUCCAUCUCCCCGUCCCCCUCCUGCUCCUCUUCCCUUCCCCGAUCAGUCUACCAUGAAAUGACAGCUAAUAAUGUUAUUAUCUUGGAGCCUGACUGCUCCAGCUCCGCCUCCAGGAACCGCCUACUCUCCUCUGCAAUUGGAGGCCUCUCCGAUUGGCCAACAGGCCUGGAUACAGUGCCUUCUGCCAACGUCAUUGUUGUGGAAACCUCCAAUCUGAUCAUUCGCAGCGCUUCCGAGUUCUGCCUAAGCUCCGCCCCUGUGUCUAUGGAAACCCAGGAGAGCACUUUCUCGUCAAAUCCAUUUUUCAAACUACGCUCUCUCAGCAGCCAGUCGCUGGUGGAGCAAGAGAUUCGCAUGGUGAGGCAGAGGGAGGAGGAGUGGAGGAGGCAGAGGGAUGAGAUGUGGAGGAGGAGGCAGGAGGAGGAGUGGAGGAAAGGGAGAGAGAGGUACGAAACAGUGCUUGUGUCUCCAGGCCUGGGCGAUAACAUCACUUUCAAUGUGCCAGAGGUUUCAGACAGAUGUGUAUCCUCCCCAUCGUCUCCCUCUAGGACCCGCAAAAUGGAACGAUCCAGUUUGUCUUGUGACCACAAGUUCCCCCCUUCUCUCUCUUCUGUGCCACGACGACAGAACACCAUGGCACAGCGAUGGGAGGCCUCCCUGUUGGCCAAUCAGAAGAAGGAGUGAGCAACAACAGCACCCAGCUGUUAACCUUUUGAAAGCCAAAAUGAAAUCUUUUUUCACCCUCUGUCUAGAAAACUCAUACAGUCACAUUCUGUCAGCAGCCACUGUCUUCUGCAAUGUUUGUCAAAACUAUGGCUGAGAAGUAGUUCCACAAUCUGCUGUUUAUGGGAGGCCACAUGAGAAGAGAACUGUUUCUUUCAUCAAGCCUGGUUUCAAAGAUUGAGAUCAUUUAUCUAGUUUGGGUUCCCAAAAGUUCUGAAGUCUUGCUUUCAGGCCAAACUACUCUUUUGCAUGAUGCUUGAAACAGUAUGAUCCAUGACACAACAGAACUGGCCGCCAGGUCACAGUUUAGACUUCUUCCUCACACACACACACACACACACACACACACACACACACAUUCCUCGGAAGUGUGUCACAAUAAAGAAAGUAUGACAUCACAAUCACAGUAAUAGCAAUGUUUUUGACAUGUGGCCUAUAUUUUAUAUACUCUUCGGAGGUCAAAAUCGGCUAUAUUCUCCUUUAAUAUUUACCGCACUUUGAUUUCUAGAUGUUAAUCAACUAUAGUACCAACUGUUUAUUGUUAUGUAUUGAUUUGUAUGACUGUCUGUAAUGCAGUGAUUUUCAAACUCACAUUUUAAUUUCUGAUAUUAAUUUAGUGUGUAUUUUACAGACAGCAUACAGCAUUCAUUUGCAUUCAGUGUUGUAGCUAUGCAUAGCAGAGGUUUGAGAAGGUAUAUGCAAAAAUAAUUGAGCAUGAUGUGUUUCAUUCUUGUGUUUUAAAGGGGCUCUGUGGAACACAGGUGUUGUGCUUGAGGUCACUCAUUAGUUUAUGUUGGCAUUUCUAAACUUACGUUAGCUUCUGUUGCUCUCUGUUAGCAGAGUAGAGAGAGACACUGAGACAAGGCACCCCGUGAACAUGCCCAAAGUCACAUCCUUUUGGACUGUCAGGGAAAAUCUGACCUGAGUCCUCCAAAUAGUAAUCCACAGUCGCGGAGGGUCUCAUUUUUCACAUCAUGUUAAAAUUUGCUCACAUAUGGCCAAUAAAAAAAUGAUUAAGACAUGUAAAUUGUUAAAAUUUGUUACAUAGAGCCCCUUUAAAUGUGCCAAUCCAGACUUCCAAUCCAAAUCACCGCCUUAGUGGAAUGUUAUGAUUAGCCAUUGUUCAAGAGCGUGGAUGUCCCAGGUUUCUGUGUUAGCCAUGUUGGCUUAACAGUGCGAGCUGCUAACUGAUCACUAUUUGUGUCACAGACACUUUUGCCUCUCAGACGAGGUCGCCUUUACCCCAGAUAGUUUUCCAGAUGAGGGUUCAGUUUUUUGGGCUUCUUAUAAACAAAGUCAGAAGAGCAAAAAAUGUGUACAUUUUUUUGAGGAUAUUGGAAUCUGAAAGUUGCAAGACUUGCUAGUUUUCUAUACUCAUGGAGGUGUACAUCAUAGGGCAUGGACAUUUAAAAAAAAAGGUGUUGAUGUUCUACAUAAAACCAACCUGAGCUCAUUUUCAGAUUUCCAUGUCUAUUUCAUUAUAAAGCAGCUAUAGAUGUUAAAUAAUUCCUGUUAAAGCAUCAAAAUGCUCAGUCAGUUCAAAAAGUGUGCCUUUAAGCGAGCUGUCAGGACACAUAAUAAAGGACCUUGAAACAAUCAGCUGGCUACCUAACACAAUGCUAGGUUUGCUAACUCUGUUUUAUAACCUCUAUCAUAAGAAACAUUCAGUGGAGGAAGUAUUUGUCAGGCAGCACCAACAAGCUCUGAUAUUGUAUUAAAAAUAGAACAGUCACAGUACAAAGUACAAAGCUGUUUUAAAAAACGUCCAAUAUGGAGGCCAGAGAGAAUGGGAUCUAAGAAGCCACGUGUUCAGACUUAAUACAAAGUGAAUGCAAACCGAGGAAAAGAUUAUGUAAUGGAGAAGAUCCAUUAUGGAGCCACCGUCGGGGCAAAAGGAGAGAAACUUUUUCAGCUGACACGACAGGCAUGCAGCAUGCAGUCUGUGACCAGCCUCCAUUAGUGGUCAGCUUCCAGGUAAUGUUUUUACAGUGGUUACGUUCCAUGUUCGGGUUGAAUAAAGAGGCUGUAAAACACUCACAUGUAUGUGAAUUACUUGAGGAGGAAAUUCACAUGAAGUCUGAAAACACCUUUUAAAUUAGCUUUUACGUCACCGUGGUGGUUUCAUGGAUGUCAUUAGCACACAUUAGCAGCCCACUGUUUAAGCUUUGGCAGCAUUAGCAUAUUGCAUAUAGUCGAGGACAUACAAUUUUUUUUCUGAUACAACCGGCCUAACUCUUCCUUACAGUGGCUCUGCAGCUUUAGUAAAACAACUUAUGAAUUAAUCAGUUAUUCUUAUCCUGAAGUGAAGAUUUCUACAUAUUUUUAUGUCCUGUCUUGAUUCCUAAGAAGAUAUCUAUUGUAUUGUAUUUUUGCUGCAUAUAUUUCUGAAUUGAGCAAUGCUUAUGAAUCUUUAAAGCUUUUCUUUGUCAAAGGUUUAUAACAUAUUGUGUCAGAAUGACUAUUUGAAGUCUGCCAUAUUUUUUAGGAGAUGACUUUCAUGUGUGGUGUGUACAAGUUUGUUUUAUAGUAAUCUGUCCUUCAUACAUUACCUUGUCAAAACUCACUUUAGUUUGGUUUCUGUGGCUCACUCACUGGUUUUCCCUGUUAACUCAUCCUGACUCAGCUGUGGAGUAAAGGUGCAUUCAAGUCAACUCAGAAAUGGGAUGAUUUUAACUGCAAGGGUGAAAUAAUACCAGGCGAUAUAUUGCGCUAUAAGCUUUGAUGUGCAGUACAGAAGGAUAACACUACCAAUGUAGCUAACUCACUACUGCUGUGAGUCACUGCAACCUGAAGCUGUGUCAGUACAUACCAUGUAGCCUGUGUAUAUCUUUACUCUGCUUGAGAGGCUAGGUUUCAUUUUUUCAAGUUUAUCUUCAAAAAAUACUACAUUUUAUAUAUUUGAAUUAACGAAGAGUCAGUCUAUUUCCUUCUUCUUCCUCUUCAUGCUGGCUGUAAAAUGGUCAUGCUCUAGUGCAAAUACACUGACAGAGAUUUGAUAUGAAAAGUCAACAUGCUUAGUUCAGGUGAAAGGAUUCAGUUUGUUCAAUCGUUCCUGAAUUUUAGUUUUAAAACAUUCAGAGAAUUAACUGACAUUUUAAACUGAGUAUGAGGAAUCAACAAUGCUGUGUUGUGGACAUGUCUAUUGAAGUUAGCAUGCUAACCAGUGAUUUCUCCUAAUGGCAAUACAUUCCUGAAUCUAUCACAAAACAGAUUGUUGGAUAAGCUCUUAAAGCACAUUAAUUCCAAGAAGCUCAUAGCAAACUAAUAUGGACCUUUGAAAUCUGUCCUUUAAAUGACAGGGCAAGAUUGAGGGUGAGCCAGUAGCAAGAGUUUGUUAUUGUUUCUUAAUUAUGACUUAUUUAGUCGUAAGUUAUGAUAAAAACCUAAUAAGCAGAUGUUGUUUUACCGCUUCCAGCCGUGAUCCUGACUGAAAGUCUGCAGAAUUCAGAAUUCAGAAGACUGGAGAUGAGAAAUGAUUACAGCUAACAGUAACUGUUUCACUGUACACAGCUUGUAAGUAUUAUUUGAAGGCAGACUAGAAAAAAUCUGAUCAUAUCCUCGAAGAACUUGGAGCUGUGAGGUCACAUGAGAGUCUGAGAUGUAUUGAAUGCACAAUAAUAACUGCUAUGUGAAAAUCAGGGCAGGUUUAAAGUACAGAAUGUCAUUAUGUCACUUUGUUAGAUACGCUGUAUGACAGCACAUUAUACUCACCCAGUUUGUAUCCACUGCCACACCUCUUUGAGUCUGAGUGAAGCUUUUGUAUCAGUUGAAUUAAGGAACUUUAAUACUCCAUAACUCUGUGUUUAGUUUUAAGAAGAAAGUUCAUUUAGCCAUAAAGUUUUUUAACAUUUCUGAUUAUGUUCAUUCCACUCCUCAGUGAAUACAGAGGCAACACAUGUGUCACACCACAUGCUAGUUGAAUAAACACCAAGAAUAUUCUGUAUAGACUCACGUCAACAGCUGCCCUCACUAUUAAAGCCUUUCCUCGCUAGUGUCAUGUAUUCUGAUUCUGUUUAUUUCUUAGUCUGUUUGCCUUGAGUUUCAGUCAUUUAGUAUUGCCAAAUUAAUGUUCUGCUGAUGAUGUCUUUAAUAAAGUGUGUGAAUUCUUAAACCUACUGUGUGUGCUAUAGUUGGUUUAUUUGUCAGCCACCAUUUUGAUGGUCAGCGCAAACAUCUGUCGAUAUGAUAUCAUUUUGUGGGUUCUGUUCCUGAAACCAUUACUUAUUACUUGUGAGGAUGGCCCUCAUUUAUCAAUCUUGCGUGAAAACGGGCGCAGAUCUGAGCGCAGAAUUGGUCGUACGACAGGACACACGUGUGAUUUAUAAAACAUUCGUAUCUGACCAAUCUCAGCGUACGAAUGAGCGGGUCUUGAUAAAUGCGGCGGCUGAAUUCGAUCGUCAUUAACAUGUUACGCCCUUAAAUAUUCCUGGUUCGGAGGCCUCGCCCACUGAGGUCAAACAUGGAGAGAAGAAACACUGGCAAGAAAAUAAACUUUUUCGAGAUGGAGCUCGGCAUCCUGACAUCCGAGGUGGAGCAAAAUAAAGAUUUGCGUUUUGGCAGUCUGAAAAAUGGAAUUAAAGGAGGUCAUAAAAACGCUGUAUGGAAGAGAAUAACGGAGGCAGUCAACAGCGUUGCCAGAGGAACGGACUCCGGCUGAGGUGACGCAGACGCAGUCGCGUCAGAGCCAGAGCAGAAUG